rnacentral:rRNA from 1 species
UACGAACCGUACAAACGUUAUUCGGAAUCACUGGGCUUAAAGGGUGCGUAGGCGGCCAUGUAAGUGAGGUGUGAAAUCCCUCGGCUCAACCGAGGAACUGCGCUUCAUACUGCAUGGCUUGAGGGAGACAGAGGUAAGCGGAACUGAUGGUGGAGCGGUGAAAUGCGUUGAUAUCAUCAGGAACACCGGUGGCGAAAGCGGCUUACUGGGUCUCUUCUGACGCUGAGGUACGAAAGCUAGGGGAGCGAACGGG